rnacentral:rRNA from 1 species
UUGUUGCGUUUAAAACGGCUCGUAGUUGGAUCAUGCAACAAGUGUACGGUAAAUCUAUUCAUUAGACCAGAUAUUUCGAGGAGUCGUUGAAAAGACGACACUUGUGAUCUGGACUGUGAUAGAUAUAAAAGCUGAACACUGUUAAUUGCGUGUGAGAUGGAUUGUUGACCUUUAGUGAGUCGGUAAUCCUGUCUCGCGGGAUGUGCCUUGAAUAAAACAGAGUGCUUAAAGCAGGUUGAUGCCUGAAUGUUAUAGCAUGGAACGAACAAUAGUGUAUACGUAUGCGAUUUUCAAUAGUGACAGGCCUAUGGCUUGCCACUGUUGGGGGCGCGUACAUCACCCACCAAAAUAUGGCUGUUGGUUCCAUAUACGGUGAUGAUUAAAAGGAGCGGUUGGGGGCAUCGGUAUUUGGCCGCGAGAGGUGAAAUUCUUGGACCGGCCAAGGACUAACAAAUGCAAAGGCACUUGUCUAGACCGUUUCCAUUAAUCAAGAACGAAAGUGGGAGGUUCGAAGACGAUCAGAUACCGUCCUAGUUUCCACUGUAAACUAUGCCGACCUGGGAUCAGUUUAUAGAUGCUACAAGCUCUAAAUUGGUCCCCCUGGGAAACGUCAAGUUUUUCGGUUACUGGGAGAGUAUGGUCUCAAGGCUGAAACUUUAACCGAAUUUGACGGGNAAGGGCACCACCCAGCGGUUGGAAGCCCUGCCCGCUCUUUUUUGANUUAAC